UUUUUUUUUCUCGUUCAUUUCCAACUCAUAUCAAACAAUUGGAUCCUAUUGAGUUACAUAGGACCAUCCAUCAAUCUUUCUCUAUCUCUCUCUCUCUUAGGCUCAACUACAUUCUACUUCUCUCUAGUGAAUAUUGUCCCACACUCAGUUAAAAUAUUCUGCGCCAGAUGUCUCAUUUCUCUUACUAUAUGAACUGGACAUCCGUUGACCUCCUGCACUUGUUCUCACAAAACAUUAGUCCGUUCUUGUUCUUCGCAAAUGGAGAUCUUAAGUUUUUAGCAUUGCCCUCAACUCUUAAUUACUCGGGUACAAGAAUUCGAAAUAAGAUAAUUCACAUCUCGAGCUGGCCAGUCCCAAGAGUAAAUCACCAUAUUUAAGAUUCCUACCCAACAUACAUAUCUAGUCUUUCCCCAAGUAUUACGAUAAAAUAUUUAUACCUAUCACAUUCAUGAUUCACAGCUUACACUCUAAAAGAGUACUUAAGCCUUUACUCAUUCAUAUGAUAAGGACCAUAAUACCAUUUG
rnacentral:lncRNA from 1 species